AACGAACGCUGGCGGCAUGCCUAACACAUGCAAGUCGAACGAGACCUUCGGGUCUAGUGGCGCACGGGUGCGUAACGCGUGGGAACCUGCCCUUAGGUUCGGAAUAACUCCCCGAAAGGGGUGCUAAUACCGGAUAAUGUCUUCGGACCAAAGAUUUAUCGCCUUUGGAUGGGCCCGCGUUGGAUUAGCUAGUUGGUAGGGUAAAAGCCUACCAAGGCGACGAUCCAUAGCUGGUCUGAGAGGAUGAUCAGCCACACUGGGACUGAGACACGGCCCAGACUCCUGCGGGAGGCAGCAGUGGUGAAUAUUGGACAAUGGGCGAAAGCCUGAUCCAGCACUGCCGCGUGAGUGAUGAAGGCCUUAGGGUUGUAAAGCUCUUUUACCCGGGAUGAUAAUGACGGUACCGGGAGAAUAAGCUCCGGCUAACUCCGU
rnacentral:rRNA from 1 species